UAGGGAAUCUUCCACAAUGGACGAAAGUCUGAUGGAGCAACGCCGCGUGAGUGAUGAAGGGUUUCGGCUCGUAAAACUCUGUUGUUGGAGAAGAACGGGUGUCAGAGUAACUGUUGACAUCGUGACGGUAUCCAACCAGAAAGCCACGGCUAACUACGUGCCAGCAGCCGCGGUAAUACGUAGGUGGCAAGCGUUGUCCGGAUUUAUUGGGCGUAAAGCGAGCGCAGGCGGUUUUUUAGGUCUGAUGUGAAAGCCUUCGGCUUAACCGGAGAAGUGCAUCGGAAACCGGGAGACUUGAGUGCAGAAGAGGACAGUGGAACUCCAUGUGUAGCGGUGAAAUGCGUAGAUAUAUGGAAGAACACCAGUGGCGAAGGCGGCUGUCUGGUCUGCAACUGACGCUGAGGCUCGAAAGCAUGGGUAGCGAACAGGAUUAGAUACCCUGGUAGUCCAUGCCGUAAACGAUGAGUGCUAAGUGUUGGAGGGUUUCCGCCCUUCAGUGCUGCAGCUAACGCAUUAAGCACUCCGCCUGGGGGAGUACGACCGCAAGGUUGAAC
rnacentral:rRNA from 1 species